UACGAAGGGGGCUAGCGUUGUUCGGAUUUACUGGGCGUAAAGCGCACGUAGGCGGAUCUUUAAGUCAGAGGUGAAAUCCCAAGGCUCAACCUUGGAACUGCCUUUGAUACUGCGGUGCUUGAGGACUGGAGAGGAGACUGGAAUUCACGGUGUAGCAGUGAAAUGCGUAGAUAUCGUGAGGAAGACCAGUGGCGAAGGCGGGUCUCUGGACAGUUCCUGACACUGAGGCACGAAGGCUAGGGGAGCAAACGGG
rnacentral:rRNA from 1 species